UCGGGUUGGACUGCAGAUAUUCUCAAUGGUAGUAUUACCAGAAUAAGUAUAGGUGGUUUUGUGUUGUUUUUGUUUUUGUGUAAAGACUGAGUAACUUGAUUGUUGAAUUGCCGCAAUUUACAACAGCGUAUAAAAAAUACAAUGCCUGAUGAAUCCUUGCCGGCAGAAGGGAUUGAUUACAA